UCCUGGCUUAGGACGAACGCUGGCGGCACGCUUAACACAUGCAAGUCGAACGGAGCAUAGAGCUUGCUUAUGCUAGUGGCGGACGGGUGAGUAACACGUGAGCAACCUGCCUUUCAGUGCGGAAUAGCUUCUGGAAACGGAUGGUAAUACCGCAUAACAUUACGGAACCGCAUGAUUCUGUAAUCAAAAGUAUUUCGCUGAAAGAUGGGCUCGCGUCUGAUUAGGUAGUUGGUGUGGUAACGGCACACCAAGCCGACGAUCAGUAGCCGGACUGAGAGGUUGAACGGCCACAUUGGGACUGAGACACGGCCCAGACUCCUACGGGAGGCAGCAGUGGGGAAUAUUGCACAAUGGGCGGAAGCCUUGAUGCAGCGAUGCCGCGUGGAGGAAGAAGGUUUUCGGAUUGUAAACUCCUGUUCUUAGGGACGAUAAUGACGGUACCUAAGGAGAAAGCUCCGGCUAACUACGUGCCAGCAGCCGC
rnacentral:rRNA from 1 species